AGUGAACGCUGGCGGUAGGCCUAACACAUGCAAGUCGAACGGCAGCACAGGAGAGCUUGCUCUCUGGGUGGCGAGUGGCGGACGGGUGAGGCAUACAUCUGAAUCUGCCCAGUCGUGGGGGAUAACGUAGGGAAACUUACGCUAAUACCGCAUACGACCUUCGGGUGAAAGAGGGGGAUCGCAAGACCUCUCGCGAUUGGAUGAGCCGAUGUCGGAUUAGCUAGUUGGCGGGGUAAUGGCCCACCAAGGCGACGAUCCGUAGCUGGUCUGAGAGGAUGAUCAGCCACACUGGAACUGAGACACGGUCCAGACUCCUACGGGAGGCAGCAGUGGGGAAUAUUGGACAAUGGGCGCAAGCCUGAUCCAGCCAUACCGCGUGGGUGAAGAAGGCCUUCGGGUUGUAAAGCCCUUUUGUUGGGAAAGAAAUCUUUCAGGCUAAUACCCUGGGAGGAUGACGGUACCCAAAGAAUAAGCACCGGCUAACUUCGUG
rnacentral:rRNA from 1 species